AUUGAACGCUGGCGGCAUGCCUUACACAUGCAAGUCGAACGGCAGCAUGGAGAGCUUGCUCUCUGAUGGCGAGUGGCGAACGGGUGAGUAAAGCAUCGGAACGUACCGUGUAGUGGGGGAUAACGUAGCGAAAGUUACGCUAAUACCGCAUACGCACUGAGGUGGAAAGCAGGGGAUCGUAAGACCUUGCGCUAUACGAGCGGCCGAUGUCAGAUUAGCUAGUUGGUAGGGUAAAGGCCUACCAAGGCGACGAUCUGUAGCGGGUCUGAGAGGAUGAGCCGCCACACUGGGACUGAGACACGGCCCAGACUCCUACGUGAGGCAGCAGUGGGGAAUUUUGGACAAUGAGGGCAACCCUGAUCCAGUCAUGCCGCGUGAGUGAAGAAGGCCUUCGGGUUGUAAAGCUCUUUCGGCCGGGAAGAAAUCGCACAGGCUAAUACCCUGUGUGGAUGACGGUACCGGCAUAAGAAGCACCGGCUAACUACGUGCCAGCCGCCGCGGUAA
rnacentral:rRNA from 1 species